UAGCAAUACUAGGUUGAGCCAGUGGCGAACGGGUGCGUAACACGUGAGUCAUCUGCCUGAAAUAGUAAAAGAAGCUCGCCGAAAGGCGAAUUAAUACCGCAUGUGCCCCGAAGCAAUUCGGGGUAAAGCCGGGGCAACCUGGCGCUUUUAGAUGAGCUCGCGGCCUAUCAGCUUGUUGGUAAGGUAACGGCUUACCAAGGCUUCGACGGGUAGCUGGUCUGAGAGGACGACCAGCCACACUGGAACUGAGACACGGUCCAGACACCUACGGGUGGCAGCAGUCGAGAAUUUUUCUCAUUUUUUUUAAACCCUGAAGGAGCGACGCCGCGUGGAGGAUGAAGGCUUUCGGCCCCCCCAACUCCUGUCAUUUGGGAACAAUACCUUACGUUAACUGCGUGGAGGUUUGAUAGUACCAGAAGAGGAAGAGACGGCUAACUCUGUGCCAGCAGCCGCGGUAAUACAGAGGUCUCGAGCGUUGUUCGGAUUCAUUGGGCGUAAAGGGCGCGUAGGCUGCGGGGCAAGUCGGGUGUGAAAUCUCAGAGCUAACUCUGAAACUGCACUCGAUACUGCUUUGCUAGAAGGACUGGAGACGAGAUUGGAAUUCACGGUGUAGCAA
rnacentral:rRNA from 1 species